AUGUAAAUUUUUGUGCGGAAGAUUAUUAAUUUUAAAAGUUAAUAAUUUAUUUAUAGUCGCAGUAAUUAAUAUUAUUAAUUAAAGAAAUUUAGAGAUAGAUAUAUUAAAAAGUAUUGGCUAAAUUUGUGCCAGCAGCCGCGGUUAUACAAAUGAUGCAAAAGAAUUUUUUUAGAAUAAGUUAAAUAGAUAAAUAAAAAUUAUUAAAUUUUUAUUAGGUGAAAUUUUAAAAAUUUUUAAUUUUAAAUAAAUGAACAAUUGAAGCUUGUAAAUUUUAGUAAUAAACUAGGAUUAGAUACCCUAUUAUUUAAAAUGUAAAAUAAAAAUCUUGAGUAGUAUUAGAUAUAUUCUUGAAACUUAAAAAAUUUGGCGGUAUUUUAGUCUAUUCAGAGGAACCUGUUCUAUAAUCGAUAUUCCACGAUGGACCUUACUUAAAUUUGUUAAUCAGUUUAUAUACCGUCGUUAUCAGAAUAUUUUAUAAAAAUAAUAAUUUUCUUUUAUUUUAAUUAAAUUAUAUAUCAGAUCAAGGUGUAGCUUAUAUUUAAGUAGAAAUGGGUUACAAUAAAUUUAUUUAAAUGGAUAUAAAAAUGAAAAAUUUAUUGAAAGUGGAUUUGAUAGUAAAAUCAUAAAGAUUAAUAAUUUGAUUUUAGCUCUAAAAUAUGCACACAUCGCCCGUCGCUCUUAUUAUUAAGAUAAGAUAAGUCGUAACAUAGUAGAAGUACUGGAAAGUGUAUCUAGAAUG
rnacentral:ncRNA from 1 species